rnacentral:rRNA from 1 species
GACAGAGGGGGCAAGCGUUGCUCGGAAUUACUGGGCGUAAAGGGCGCGUAGGCGGGAUGGCAAGUCGGUCGUGAAAUCCCUUCGGCUCAACCGAAGAACGUCGAUCGAUACUGCUGUUCUUGAGGGUUGCAGAGGAGACUGGAAUUCCCGGUGUAGCGGUGAAAUGUGUAGAGAUCGGGGAGGAACGACCGGUGGCGAAGGCGGGUCUCUGGGCAAUUCC